rnacentral:rRNA from 1 species
UAGGGAAUCUUCCACAAUGGGCGCAAGCCUGAUGGAGCAACGCCGCGUGAGUGAAGAAGGUCUUCGGAUCGUAAAACUCUGUUGUUAGAGAAGAACAUGCAAGAGAGUAACUGUUCUUGUAUUGACGGUAUCUAACCAGAAAGCCACGGCUAACUACGUGCCAA